rnacentral:rRNA from 1 species
GAGAGGAGGUGGCAUGCCGUCGUCAGUUCGUACUGUGAAGCAUCCUGUUAAGUCAGGCAACGAGCGAGACCCACGCCAACAGUUGCCAGCAUGUCCUCCGGGAUGAUGGGGACACUGUUGGGACCGCCUCUGCUAAAGAGGAGGAAGGAAUGGGCAACGGUAGGUCAGCAUGCCCCGAAUUAUCCGGGCUACACGCGGGCUACAAUGGUCAGGACAAUGGGUAUCGACACCGAGAGGUGGAGGCAAUCUCCUAAACCUGUCCUUAGUUCGGAUUGUGGGCUGCAACUCGCCCACAUGAAGCUGGAAUCCGUAGUAAUCGCGUUUCAAAAUAGCGCGGUGAAUAUGUCCCUGCUCCUU